rnacentral:lncRNA from 1 species
GUUUAGGCUAGAGGUCGCUGGUCCUAAAGAGUGCAUAGCUCUUCCACCUCGAGAUCGGAUCGGCCUUUACGAAGAGUCUUGUAAGGCCGGGCUUAGAUUGUCUUUUAAUUUUUUAAUUGUAAAGAUGUUAAAUACAUAUCAAAUAACCCCAUGCUAUAUUGCACUGAACUCAUAACAUUUAAUCAUAGCUUUUUUGACUCACCAUCUUCUCUUCGGGCUCGAACAACUACCCACCUCUUCAGGACAUGCUUCAUAUUAAAGGAGCAUCCUAAGAAGGAUAGAUGGUGGUAUGUCUUCCCUUAGAAGGGACGACAACUCUUCUGAGGUGCUCCUUUCUCGAUUCACAAUAGAAAAAAGUGGUAUUUUUUUUUAUCUUGGCCGAGCAAUCAUGAGACAUUAGCACAUUAUGGGAUCACCCUCGAUAAUCAACAUCUUUUUAAAAAAAUUAAUAAUAUUCUAAAAGAACUCUAAAUUUAAUUUUUUUUUAUGUGGUGCACGGACUCUAUACAGAAAAUAUUUUUUAAAAAAAUAUUUAAGAAGAGUCUCACUCAAAUAUGGAUUUAUUUUGAAUUUUAUUUAAAUCACU